AAACCAACAGGGAUUGCCCUAGUAACGGCGAGUGAAGCGGCAACAGCUCAAAUUUGAAAUCUGGCCCCAGGCCCGAGUUGUAAUUUGCAGAGGAAGCUUUGGGCGCGGCACCUACUGAGUCCCCUGGAACGGGGCGCCAAAGAGGGUGAGAGCCCCGUAUAGUGGGAUGCCCAGCCUGUGUAAAGCUCCUUCGACGAGUCGAGUAGUUUGGGAAUGCUGCUCAAAAUGGGAGGUAAAUUUCUUCUAAAGCUAAAUACCGGCCAGAGACCGAUAGCGCACAAGUAGAGUGAUCGAAAGAUGAAAAGCACUUUGAAAAGAGGGUUAAAUAGCACGUGAAAUUGUUGAAAGGGAAGCGCUCGUGACCAGACUUGCGCCGGGCUGAUCAUCCGGUGUUCUCACCGGUGCACUCUGCCCGGCUCAGGCCAGCAUCGGUUCUCGCGGGGGGAUAAAGGCGCCGGGAACGUGGCUCCCUCGGGAGUGUUAUAGCCCGACGCGCAAUGCCCUCGCGGGGACCGAGGUUCGCGCAUCUGCAAGGAUGCUGGCGUAAUGGUCAUCAGCGAC
rnacentral:rRNA from 3 species